rnacentral:rRNA from 1 species
GAGAGGAAACAGCCCAGAGCAUCGACUAAGGCCCUUAAGCGUACGCUAAGUGGGAAAGGAUGUGGAGUCGCAGAGACAACCAGGAGGUUGGCUUAGAAGCAGCCACCCUUGAAAGAGUGCGUAAUAGCUCACUGGUCUAGUGAUUCCGCGCCGACAAUGUAGCGGGGCUCAAGCGUACCGCCGAAGUCGUGUCAUUGCAGCAAUACGCCCAACGGCGGCUGUGAUGGGUAGGGGAGCGUCGUGUGCCGGGUGAAGCCGCGCCGGAAGGCAGUGGUGGACGGUUCACGAGUGAGAAUGCAGGCAUGAGUAGCGAUACACACGUGAGAAACGUGUGCGCCGAUUGACUAAGGGUUCCUGGGUCAAGCUGAUCUGCCCAGGGUAAGUCGGGACCUAAGGCGAGGCCGACAGGCGUAGUCGAUGGAUAACCGGUUGAUAUUCCGGUACCCGCUGUGAAGCGUCAAACAUUGAACCAGGCGAUGCUAAGUCCGUGAAGCCGCCCCGGAGCCUUCGGGCAAAGGGGAGUGGUGGAGCCGACGGACCAGACCUGCAGUAGGUGAGUGAUGGGGUGACGCAGGAAGGUAGUCCAUCCCGGGCGGUGGUUGUCCCGGGGUAAGGGUGUAGGCCGUGUGAUAGGUAAAUCCGUCGCACAUCAAGGCUGAGACCUGAUGCCGAGCCGAUUGUGGUGAAGUGGAUGAUCCUAUGCUGUCGAGAAAAGCCUCUAGCGAGUUUCAUGGCGGCCCGUACCCUAAACCGACUCAGGUGGUCAGGUAGAGAAUACCGAGGCGUUCGGGUGAACUAUGGUUAAGGAACUCGGCAAAAUGCCCCCGUAACUUCGGGAGAAGGGGGGCCAUCACYGGUGAGAGGAUUUACUCCUUGAGCUGGGGGUGGCCGCAGAGACCAGCGAGAAGCGACUGUUUACUAAAAACACAGGUCCGUGCGAAGCCGUAAGGCGAUGUAUACGGACUGACGCCUGCCCGGUGCUGGAACGUUAAGGGGACCGGUUAGUCACUCUUCGGGGUG